AUUUCUUACUUUUGUUUGUUUUUGUUAUAACUUUUCAUCCGAUCAAAACAAAGUCAAAACAACAUUUUUGUGUCAAUCUUACAAUCAUCAAAACACAUCACCUUCAUUCCGUUUUAUAUAAAACACACCACCUCCCCCCGCCCUGGUGCUGCGUCCGCCAUUGUGAGGGAGAAGCUAUUAAGUGAAUAAUAAAGCUGAAACAUUAUAUUUUAUCUUAAUAAAAACCAUGGUGUGAGAUAAGUGACAGAAAUUAAUUUGAGGCUUAAAUAUCUUUAUUGCCACCUCCGAAUAGAUUAUUCCGAUAAAAUAUAUAAAAUUAGAAAAUAACCGUACCUAACUCUAUAUAAGAGCUAUGCCAAUGCGUGGAAUUAAAACCCCAGCCAUUAGUGGUAUCGUAAAGCUUUCAAUUUUAUCUAUCUUCAUUUGCAUAAUUUUUGAGAAAAUCCAAAAUUAAAACUAUAACAAUAUACCUUCCUACUUGUGUGGUAUUUUGGAUAAAACUAAAACAAAACUAAACCAUUUUUGAUGCUGGAGCCAGGUGAGAUGAAAUAGAUAAUGUAAUUGUUAUUUUUAUUUCGGCGAGACACCUCGGCGGUCCGAGCCGCCCACUGCCCGAACGACUAGACCGACGACGUGAUGCGGCACACAAAAAUAACAACAACAAAAGAAUGUUUUUUAAUCAUUGAUGCCGCCGUCGCCGCUGCUGCCGUUGUCGCUGCGGUCGCUGUCACUGUUGCCGCUGCUGCUGCCACCGAUGCAGGUGAUGAGGAUAAUGAUGAUGAUGAUUUCUUAUUGCUAGCCUUUG